rnacentral:rRNA from 1 species
GUGGGGAAUCUUCCGCAAUGGACGAAAGUCUGACGGAGCAACGCCGCGUGAGUGAAGAAGGUUUUCGGAUCGUAAAGCUCUUUCGUUAGGGACGAACGUGCUCUUUGUGAAUAAUGAGGAGUAAUGACGGUACCUAAAUAAGAAGCCACGGCUAACUACGUGCCAGCAGCCGCGGUAAUACGUAGGUGGCAAGCGUUGUCCGGCAUUAUUGGGCGUAAAGCGCGCGCAGGCGGGAUAUCAAGUCUGUCUUAAAAGUGCGAGGCUCAACCUCGUGAGGGGACAGAAACUGGUAUUCUUGAGUGUCGGAGAGGAAAGUGGAAUUCCAAGUGUAGCGGUGAAAUGCGUAGAGAUUUGGAAGAACACCAGUGGCGAAGGCGACUUUCUGGACGAUGUCUGACGCUGAGGCGCGAAAGCUAGGGGAGCGAACGGGAUUAGAAACCCCUGUAGUCC